rfam:Populus trichocarpa isolate Nisqually-1 chromosome 6, whole genome shotgun sequence.
AGUUGGCAAGGAUGAUGAAUCAAUUAGAUGUGUGAAUGGAGCUUAAUCUAUAUUGAACUCGACUUUUUGAGGCAUAUUUAACCGUCUGAUUUGCUUGUG